CUUGUUUCAUAAAGGCCAACAAGUGUUAUGGGCUUAAUUGUGUCCCACUCAAAUUCAUAUGUUGAAGUCCUAACUCCCACUACCUUUGAAUGUAACUAUAUUUAGAG